rnacentral:rRNA from 1 species
UACGUAGGGCGCAAGCGUUUGUCCGGAAUUAUUGGGCGUAAAGAGCUCGUAGGCGGUUUGUCGCGUCUGCCGUGAAAGUCCGGGGCUCAACUCCGGAUCUGCGGUGGGUACGGGCAGACUAGAGUGAUGUAGGGGGAGACUGGAAUUCCUGGUGUAGCGGUGAAAUGCGCAGAUAUCAGGAGGAACACCGGUGGCGAAGGCGGGGUCUCUGGGCCGAUACUGACGCUGAGGAGCGAAAGCGUGGGGAGCGAACAGG